GCAGGUUGGAGAUGGACAACACUGCAUCCACCUCAGCAGUAGAAGAGUUAAUUAUAUCUGUGAAGAAAAGUGUGUUGGAGCCUCUCAAUGUUAGAAAUAGACCAAACCAGAACAAGUAAGUGCUUCAGAGUACAUCAUCCUUUCAAGUACUGGUGUUGGUGAGAUAAGAGAUAAUACUUAUUUGAGAGGAGAGAGAGAGAACAUACAUUGCUUGUAACUUGAGGGCAGAGAAUCUUAGGGAAUAACCUUUCUUCAGGCAUGUCAUUUCACUCCUGUUGGGAGUGCUUAGCUUACAAUUAAGUCUGUGAUGAGACAGUGUGUGUGGGGGUGUGUGUAUGUACGUACAGCACAAAGCCUAUAGUUAGUACACAGAACUAAAUGUUUUGUUCUGGUGUCCCAAAGGUACACAGCCUCUCAGCACUCAUUAAUUUCAGUGGAUGUGAGACCUUUCAAAGACCUGGAUUCAUACAACAAACUUUUCACCACAGGCUUUGGACCGCUCCUUUCAUUUUGCUCAUGAUGCAGUAGGAACUCGGAAACCAGCUCUGCAUCUAUUCAUCAGCUGCAGCAUGAGCCCUUUUUAUUAGUGCCUUUUGUGGCAAUAGCUGUGAUCUAUUUAAAGUGCUAAGCCUUCAAACUGCAAUUCCUUGCAUCAGAUGUACUAGAAGCAGAUAUCCAUGGAAGAGAGAAAAGAGCAUUCAAGGAGAAGGAGACACUGCUGUGCUUGCCUAGCUCCGCAUCCUUAUAGACGUCAUGGCUAAAUCCGUGUGGCAUGACUGGCAGCCUCAGUCCUAAGUUAACAGCAAAGUCAUUCUCAGCUCAGCAGGUGGUCCUUAAACAUGAACUUUAAAGCUGCAUGGGCGGGUGUAACUUGCUCCAGAAAAGGCCAUUCACUUCAAAAAAGACAGACUUUGGCUCAUUUUCUUCCAAACGCUACGUCCUGUUGCACAAGAGUACACAAGCAAUUCCUUUGCCAAAUCCGACUUAACGACAUUGUCAUCUUUGAAGAAAAGAACCAGAAAAAAUAA
rnacentral:lncRNA from 1 species